AACAGACGAGGAGCUUGCUCCUCUGACGUUAGCGGCGGACGGGUGAGUAACACGUGGAUAACCUACCUAUAAGACUGGGAUAACUUCGGGAAACCGGAGCUAAUACCGGAUAAUAUAUUGAACCGCAUGGUUCAAUAGUGAAAGACGGUUUUGCUGUCACUUAUAGAUGGAUCCGCGCCGCAUUAGCUAGUUGGUAAAGUAACGGCUUACCAAGGCAACGAUGCGUAGCCGACCUGAGAGGGUGAUCGGCCACACUGGAACUGAGACACGGUCCAGACUCCUACGGGAGGCAGCAGUAGGGAAUCUUCCGCAAUGGGCGAAAGCCUGACGGAGCGACGCCGCGUGAGUGAUGAAGGUCUUCGGAUCGUAAAACUCUGUUAUUAGGGAAGAACAAAUGUGUAAGUAACUAUGCACGUCUUGACGGUACCUAAUCAGAAAGCCACGGCUAACUACGUGCCAGCAGCCGCGGUAAUACGUAGGUGGCAAGCGUUAUCCGGAAUUAUUGGGCGUAAAGCGCGCGUAGGCGGUUUUUUAAGUCUGAUGUGAAAGCCCACGGCUCAACCGUGGAGGGUCAUUGGAAACUGGAAAACUUGAGUGCAGAAGAGGAAAGUGGAAUUCCAUGUGUAGCGGUGAAAUGCGCAGAGAUAUGGAGGAACACCAGUGGCGAAGGCGACUUUCUGGUCUGUAACUGACGCUGAUGUGCGAAAGCGUGGGGAUCAAACA
rnacentral:rRNA from 1 species